rnacentral:rRNA from 1 species
GACAGAGGAGCCAAGCGUUGUCCGGAUUGACUGGGCGUAAAGCGCACGCAGGCGGAACGGCGCGUGGGUGUGAAAGCUGGCGGCUUAACUGCCAGUCGCCAUCCCAUACGGCCAUUCUGGAGCCUUGCAGAGGGCAGUGGAAUUGCCGGUGUAGUGGUGAAAUGCGUAGAGAUCGGCAGGAACACCCAGGGGAACCAGCUGCCGGGCAAGCGCUGGACGCUGAGGUGCGAGAGCGUGGGGAGCGA